GACGAACGCUGGCGGCGCGCUUAACACAUGCAAGUCGAACGGAAAGGCCUGCUUUCCCUUGUGGUUUGCGGGUACUCGAGUGGCGAACGGGUGAGUAACACGUGAGUGAUCUGCCCCCAACUUGGGUAUAAGCCCGGGAAACUGGGUCUAAUUCUCGAUAGGACUGCAGGGUGGUGCCUGUGGUGGAAAUCGAUUUUCUAGUGGUUGGGGAUGAGCUCGCGGCCUAUCAGCUUGUUGGUGGGGUAAUGGCCUACCAAGGCGGCGACGGGUAGCCGGCCUGGGAGGGUGGACGGCCACAUUGGGACUGAGAUACGGCCCAGACUCCUACGGGAGGCAGCAGUGGGGAAUAUUGCACAGUGGGCGGAAGCCUGAUGCAGCGACGCCGCGUGGGGGAUGACGGCCUUCGGGUUGUAAACUCCUUUCGACCGAGAGGAAGCCACCCGGUUGGAAGGGUGGUGACGGUAGUGGUAGAAGAAGCACCGGCUAACUACGUG
rnacentral:rRNA from 1 species